UUUAACCCAAAUUUGAGGAUGUAGGUCUAGCUGAACUAAAGGCAUUUACAUCAAAUUAUAGGAAUUUGUUGGUCAAGCACCUGCUGUACAUAGAACAACAAUCCAUUACAGCUUUGAUUAUGCCGAGCAGGUCUUCUACACAUACUAGGCACAGCAAGAAGGCCCUGCUUUGAAGUGUUCUGUAAAUCAUAUGGUUCACAGAUAUUUAUCUCAGUGAUAAGGGUUUAGCUGUUAUGUGGCCAAUGGUGUGGUACCUCAUUUUCAACAUCAUCCAUAUAGAGAAGACUCUGCAUACCUGCACAUUGACAACUGUGUUGUGCGGAAUAAAAACAAUGCAGUCAUUGGGGUCUGAUGUAUUCUGAAGGGAGAGAAACAGCAUUUACUAAAAUGGAAGCAGGUGACAUAAAGUUCAGUCCUGUCAGAGAUUUGGUCUGUGGAAGACCAAAUGGAGGCAGCACACAUCUUUUGUGGAUUGAUGACCUUGGCAAACUGGUUAUAUU